UCUAAGGAGCACCACGAAAAGCACCCCAACUGGUGGGGUGCGAGCCGUGAGGGGUUCCCGUCUGUAGUGGACGGGGGCCGGGUGCGCAACAGCAAAUGAUUGCCAGACACACUAUUGGGCCCUGAGACAACACUCGGUCCGUCCGUGUGGAGUCCCUCCAUCUUGGUGGUGGGGUGUGGUGUUUGAGUAUUGGAUAGUGGUUGCGAGCAUCUAGAUGAGCGCAUGGUCUCCGUGGCCGGCGUUCAUCGAAAUGUGUAAUUUCUUUUUUAACUCU
rnacentral:misc_RNA from 1 species